CCUACGGGUGGCAGCAGUGAGGAAUAUUGGUCAAUGGACGAGAGUCUGAACCAGCCAAGUAGCGUGAAGGAUGACUGCCCUAUGGGUUGUAAACUUCUUUUAUAUGGGAAUAAAUUGUUCCACGUGUGGGAUUUUGUAUGUACCAUAUGAAUAAGGAUCGGCUAACUCCGUGCCAGCAGCCGCGGUAAUACGGUGGAUCCGAUCGUUAUCCGGAUUUAGUGGGUUUAAAGGGAGCGUAGGUGGAUUGUUAAGUCAGUUGUGAAAGUUUGCGGCUCAACCGUAAAAUUGCAGUUGAAACUGGCAGUCUAGAGUACAGUAGAGGUAGGCGGAAUUCGUGGUGUAGCGGUGAAAUGCUUAGAUAUCACGAAGAACUCCGAUUGCGAAGGCAGCUCACUGGACUGCAACUGACACUGAGGCUCGAAAGUGUGGGUAUCAAACAGGAUUAGAUACCCGGGUAGUC
rnacentral:rRNA from 1 species